rnacentral:rRNA from 1 species
AUGCAGUCGAACGAUGAAGCCCUGCUUGCGGGGUGGAUUAAUGGCGAACGGGUGAGUAACACGUGAGCGACCUGCCCCUGACUCUGGGAUAACAGCCGGAGACGGUUGCUAAUACCGGAUAUGCAUCAUACCCGCAUGGUUUGUGGUGGGAAAGAUUUUUCGGUUGGGGAUGGGCUCGCGGCCUAUCAGCUUGUUGGUGAGGUAGUGGCUCACCAAGGCGUCGACCGGUAGCCGGCCUGAGAGGGUGACCGGCCACACUGGGACUGAGACACGGCCCAGACUCCUACGGGAGGCAGCAGUGGGGAAUAUUGCACAAUGGGCGGAAGCCUGAUGCAGCAACGCCGCGUGAGGGAUGACGGCCUUCGGGUUGUAAACCUCUUUUAGCAGGGAAGAAGCGUGAGUGACGGUACCUGCAGAAAAAGCGCCGGCUAACUACRUGCCAGCAGCCGCGGUAAUACGUAGGGCGCAAGCGUUAUCCGGAAUUAUUGGGCGUAAAGAGCUCGUASGCGGUUUGUCGCGUCUGCUGUGAAAUCUGGAGGCUCAACCUCCAGCCUGCAGUGGGUACGGGCAGACUASAGUGCGGUAKGGGAGAUUGGAAUUCCUGGUGUAGCGGUGGAAUGCGCAGAUAUCAGGAGGAACACCGAUGGCKAAGGCAGAUCUCUGGGCCGUAACUGACGCUGAKGAGCGAAAGGGUGGGGAGCARACAGGCUUAGAUACCCUGGUAGUCCACCCCGUAMACGUUGGGAACUAGUUGUGGGGGCCUUUCCACGGUCUCCGUGACGCAKCUAACGCAUUAAGUUCCCCGCCUGGGGAGUACGGCCGCAAGGCUAAAACUCRAAGGAAUUGACGGGGACCCGCACAAGCGGCGGAGCAUGCGGAUUAAUUCGAUGCARCGCGAAGAACCUUACCAAGGCUUGACAUAUACGGGAACGCCGCAGAAAUGUGGUUCUCUUUGGAACUCGUAUACAGGUGGUGCAUGGUKGUCGUCAGCUCGUGUCGUGAGAUGUUGGGUUAAGUCCCGCAACGAGCGCAACCCUCGUUCUAUGUUGCCAGCACGUUAUGGUGGGAACUCAUGGGAUACUGCCGGGGUCAACUCGGAGGAAGGUGGGGAGGACGUCAAAUCAUCAUGCCCCCUAUGUGAUGGGCUUCACGCAUGCUACAACGGCCGGUACAAAGGGCAGAGAUACCGUGAGGGGGAGCGAAUCCCAAAAAGCCGGUCCCAGU